GCAUUUCAGCUGCCCAUUUAAAAGCUCUGUAUGAGCCAGGCUACAUACCAGAUGUGGCAAUGGAUGCGCUCAUGAGUAUCACCUGCAAGAAAUUCAAUGAUGUGUACAAUAUUUGUACACAAUCCAUGACUAAGAUUCUGUCUGGAUCCCAGAGGGUUAAAAGCCACUACUU